UCGGGCUGUGUGUGGGUGGAGGAAAGGGGGUGCGGGGAGUGCGAUGAUGCCCCUUCUCGCCGCCUCCACCUGCGGGUCAGGGGGCUCUGAGAGAACACUCCCGCUCCCACAGGGGUCAGGGCCGCUGCCCCCCGGGCCCUGCGCCCGCUUCGGGUCGGGGGAGCGGGGCCUCUGCUGCUGGUAGCGAUGGAGGUGUCAGCGCGGGGGUUCCAGGUGCCCGGGGCGAGGAGGGGCCUGCUGGGCCGUGCCUCGGGGUCACUCUGAGGGACAGCAGAAGUGAUAACAACAGACAAAGUGAAAUCCACCAUCGCUUUUCGUGUCACGCGAGCGGGACCCGCCUGGCUGUCUCCACGAAGGAGGGAGAAGACCCUUUUAGCAGACGGACAGGGCUCUUCGGAUUUUAUUUUCUUUCCUUCUUAAUUUUUUUUUUUAAUUUUUAUUUUUCCCCUUUUUCACCCAAAUUACCUGCGGCGUAUAGCACUCAGCCGUCCCCUCUGUGCAGCAGCAGCCGGGCGAAGCGGAUCCGUGUGGCCGCAGGGGGGAGGCGGCCCCGCGCUGCUGCCGGGAUGGACCCACGGCCGGCGGACAGACCGUCCCUGCAGUCUUGACCGCGGACCUCCCCAGGCUGUGUCCCCCCCGUGUGUGUGCGCAGCUGUCACGGGCACUGCCGGAAUGCCCCCUCCGGUUUCGUGAAGCGCUUUGGCUAUUCAGAUUUUGGGAGGGUGAGGGUUUGAUUUGCCUUUAUUGUGUGUGCGAUUUUUGUUUUCGGGUGGGUUUUUUGCUUGUUUGUUUGCUUGUUUGUUUCUUCCUCUUCUGUUCCCAGACUCCCAUCCCGUCCCCUCCAUGCUUAUUGAGGCAGACGGUGGCCAGUGCCCACCGCCUUUCCCCACUUCCCUUUCAGUUUCUUUCCACCUUAGAAAGCCGUGACCCCCACUAAACGUGCAAAUACAUUUUUAAAGCCUCCUUCUACAACUGGCCCCGCUGUCACUGGCAUUGACACGAUCUUUUUUUUUUUUUUUUUUUUAUAAACAACUUCUCCUCACCCCUAAGGUUUACCCCACCGUGUCGGGGCGGCCGAGGACGGUCGUUCUGCGGCGAUACGGGAACGCAGAGGGAACCACAAACAGGAAAAUGUCACAGGGCACAGAGCACGUCCACGAGCGAACCUGCGGGUCCCCCCGCGCCGUGACGUGGGGAUCCCUCCUGGAGAGGCGUUCUCCAGGAGAGUGAAGAGAAAAGAGAGAGGAAAAUGGGGGAAGAUAAAGGGGGGAGGGUUGGGGGGGGAAGAGGGAGGGAGGAGGUGAGCGAGUGGGGAGAUGUGAGAGUGCAAUUGGAAACUAAUAAAACUCUUGUUAAAGUGCUUGCUCAGGAUCCAUGGCGUCACCAGGUCCUUUGCUCGCGAAGCCAAAGAGUUUUAUUCCUAAAUGAGUUAAAGAGCCAUUUACCUCUGUCGUGUUCUAUUCAUCAAGCCACAAGUCGAGAGUCCCUAACAUGAAACUAUUUGUUUGCUUACACAACCAGCUGGGUGCAAUUUCACGUCUGAGAUAUCUAUCUGAAAGCGCCUCUCAUUUAUUAUCCCUCCUUGUCAGCGAAUCCAUUUUCCAACUUUCCCCCCACCCCCUCGCCCCGUCCCCAUUCACUGCAGGCUCCGGUCUUAAACGGUCCCUUAAAUUUUUCGGCACCUACACCCCCCUCCCCUCCCACCGGCGCACAGAGCCGGGGAAAGGCUUCACGCCGUGAAACUCGGAGAGCUUCGACCGAGCUGCUUCCCUGUCCUUCUCCAUUUCUCCCUCACCCCGCAGGCCUGGUUGCAGCAGAACGGCUUUUUCCCCUUUUCCCUUUUGAUCGGACUUCACCACGGGGAUGCCCGGCGCAAGGUGCAGCCGCCGGGAGAUGGAUGCACGGAGCGUGCAGUGGGAAGGGCCGAAACCGCUGCGGGGACCCGGCCCGGCCUCAUCCCGGCCUCGGUGGUCCUGACUCCGCGGGGGCCGCGGGGCGGAGGCGGCGGACUCGGAGCCCGGGUGGGAGCGGGGGCGAGGAGGGACUUCGGGGUCUUUUCUGCCACCCCACGUGGUUCCCACCAGAAAUACAAAGACGCUACGAGCAACGGGCCCGGCCGGGUUUCAGAUGUAAUUGCGAGGAAAGAAAACAAUUAACAAAAGGGGCAGUGGGAAACUGUAUCUCCCCUCCCUCCCUUUACCCCCAGUUUUGAAAAGUCGAGAUAAUGUGAGCAGUGUUUCCAUCAGGGCACUCUGGCCAACAAGAGACCACUGUCAGCGAUGGCCGUACAGCAGUGCACACACGUCUCCUCCUCAGAGCCCUCCGCCCUGCUUAAAGCCGUGGAUCAAACCCACAACCACAGGGCACGACAUCUUCCCAGUUGCUACAAAAAUAAGAAAUAAAAGGAAAGAAGGAUGGGAUGGGAGGCGCGGCAGGCGGGCUGCGGGAAGAUGCGGCGUGCGGCGGGCCGGGAGCCGUCCCAUUGUCCCGGGCUCAGAAGACCUCCGCUGCCCGCAGGGGCUGCACACGACGCCUCUCGCCCGAACCCCGCGAGCCCCGGCCACGGCCUCGGGUCCGCACUCGAUCCCCACACAAACGUCCACGCAUGUCCGGGUCACAGCGUGUUGCUUCAGCCCAGGACAGCGCAGAGGUGCCUGGGGCCCAGCCGACGGCCAUCGCUCCCUCCCCGCCGCCCUUUGGCUCCCCAGGGGACCAUCAGUCCCCCCCUCCUUUUUUUGGGGGGGGGGCGGGGUGUUUUAUUUCACCAUUACUCAGCCGCUGUGUGUGCUGCGGGACCGGGCCCACGCGUGACUCCAUGGACAGACAGGCGGGUCCCCGCUUUCGUUCUACUCUGGUCUUUUUUUUUUUCCUCCCUCGGGUUAUCCUGGGGAAUCAGGUCUCUCCUGAAGGUCUGCACCCGCUCUGCACAAAGAGACAGAAGAGAAGGGGUUGGGACUCAGCUCCGAAGGCCAAAGAGCUCUUUAAACCCCCGGGCUGCAACCACACCGCCGCUCUGAGCGGCGCUUCAGGGGCCGGAGAGCCGCGCAACUCCCGACACAGCGCUGCGGCUCCGUGGAGCGAUAAAUAACGCCGCUCAGCUCCGGGUGCGUGGGGAGAAGACGUCAGCUCGUGGCGAGCGGAGGAGAGAUGGAAGAGCAGAGCCCAACUUCGGGAAAAGACGCGCUGAUGGCAAACAUCACCCGGCGAUGAAUACUGCAUACGUUUAAUUACGAUGCCCGCUCACCGCGCUCGCACGCACCCCAACCGCCCGUCACACGGAGAGAGAGAUUUCGCUGCGGAGAGGGACAUCCUGCGCAGAGCCCCUAAGAGUCCCAGCCGUGAGGGAGGCGCUCCGGGGGCACUCCCGGCAGCGCUGCGCGCGUUACGGGGACCGCGUCCCCCCGCGGAGCUCUGCGCCUCCGCGCAGCGCACGGCCCAGGUGCCCCGCGCAGGUGCGCGCGCCGCGCGUGAGCGCUUUCCCCACUUUUGUGGGAACUCUUAAAAUACAUAUGUAUAAAAUAAACGCAGCCGAAGUCACAGAGUUUGGGUUUGCUACUGCGACCGUACCUCGGCUGUGCCGAGGAUGAUACGCCCCAGCCACGGCACGGAGCGCAGAGGAGAGGCGCUCCGGGCGCUCUCCGGCGUUACACGUGUGCGUGGCCACAGAGCGGUGCGUGGAAAAAUUAACAUCUGUUUCCCGAAAGUAAAGUGCUCCACGUGGCUCCUUACGAAAGCUUCCCUCAGUUUAAAGAGAAAUAUGUGGAGAUAAACUGGCAUCCAUAUGCAUAUCAUAUUGAUAAUGGUUUUAGGCUCCGGAGGUAGCUAUUCAUUGCAUAAGCCAUUUAGAACUGACGUUUUGAAAGCUUCUUAACCUCAGACAUCCCUGCAUCUUAAAGAAGGAUUCCCAACGAUGUUAUUUAAAGAGGAAUUUGCUGUAAUUUAAUUGCACAUCAAGGGGGAAUGGCACGGUCCCGGACUCGGAGCCCGCCUACGCUGCAUCCCGCGGCGCUCCCACGCGCGUCCCUUCGCGGUGCUGCGCCCACCGCUGCCCUUCGCCAUUCCCGCAAUGGCAGGUCGGACCCGGCAGAACGGCCGCCCGGCAGGCAGCUGGGACCCCCACUUUCUUCCCCCUCCCCCCACAAAUGGGCCUUCCUCCCCCCUUCGUCUUUUCCAGUGAGAACUGUCACGGUACGGGGGAAGCGAACCCCCGCGGCGCUUUGAGAAUAGGGGGGUGUCCCAACUGCACCGCCGCCGUGGGCCGGGGCAGGGAGGGUCAAUGUGGCAGUCCCGCGGGGGGCCUGGGGAGACCCCCCAACCCCGGGCCUGCACUGCGGGGGCUUUGAAGAGGGGGGGUGUCCCGAGCGGGAUUCCCUGUGUCCGUGGGCGCACUCCGCGUGGGUGUGGGGGGGUAAGGGGACCCAAGCAGUCAGAUCCUCUCUGAGUUACAGGGAGCUUCUUUCUUUUCAUUUUCUUUUUGCAUUUCUUUUUUUUUUUUUUUCCUUUUCCUUUUUUUCUUCCCUCCCCCCCCCUCCCCCCCCCUUUUUUUUUUUCUUUUCUUUUUCCCAUAUAUAUAUUUUUUCCUUUUCCUUCCCCAAAGGCCAUAGCAUUGCUGCUCACACGGACACGCGGACCUCCAGCCCCCUCAUUCUGUGCCUUGAAGGGGCGGUUCGUGCUCUCUGCCUGGGCAAAGGGUUGGCAGGGAAUUGCCAUGUGCAAUUCUAGGAAGGAAAAAGGCACAAACCCACAGUUCUGUCUUGCUUGGUAAAAUCAUUAAAAUACGUGAAGUGACGUGAAGUUUGGAUGUAUGUGAACACAGUGGACAGAACCUGCGAGGACGGUCCCACUUUAGGAUAGGGUCUUUAUUUAAGGAUGGUGUAUUUGCAGGGGAAAAAAAGGGAGUAUCCCACAAAGCCCCGCUAUACACCGAUAACAAAACGUGUCACAUCUUCACUUAUUGCCGGAACAGAGCCGUGCCCUCAUCUGAACACCUCCGAAGUGAUUACUGGAUCCCUCUCUGAUAAAUCAGUUUGUGGAACCGAGCCGGGAGCACACAGACAAAAAGGUGGGAAGGGGAGAAGAAAAAAGAAAGGGAGAGAGAGGAGUGGGAGCUCUGCUCGCACCGCGUCUGUCCCUCAUUGCACCUUCCCAGUACCGCGGGAGUGCCCCUCCGCCCGUUCUCCUUCCGAAGAAGCUUUCGUUGGUGGCAGCGAUACGUGCUUUGAAAUAAGCGGCUUGCACUUGGGGUGAGGAAGGGGGAAACAUAAGGAAACCCAGCCCAUAUUUCCUAUUAUUAUUAUUAUUAUUAUUAUUGAUAUUAUUAUUAGUAUUAUUCCCUCCCCCGAUUAGAUAGGAGAACUCUUCUUCCCCCACCCCCCCGAGAGAGUGGAUUGAAGGACACAAAAAUGGUGUAUCGGUGAAAGGAAGAAAGUGGCCUUUUAAUGAGAACUAAAGGAAACCAAAACGCAGACGAAGCGCACCGUAAAGGCUGCUUCAAAGUGCGGUGUGAUCCCCGAGCGCAGCCACCGUGCAGGUUUGGUGAUGGGGAGCGCACUGCGCAGAGGCGUGGGUAACGCUGUUUUUCCCUUCGAUAAUUAUAGAUACGUGUCACAGACUCUUUGCAAAGAGCCGGGAGACAGCAGAAACCCUUUGCUGCUGCAAAUGAAGGAAGAGAGUCAACGCCAUUAAAAAAAAAUGAAGGCGAACCCACCCGUACCUGAGCGCUGCAGGGUGCGGCGGUCCCCGCCCCACCGCCGUGCCCCGUGCCCAUCUCCCGACCCUGGCUGUGCUGCAUCACAAGUCCGCACAAGCGACGGAGCGAUAAAUCCUACCAAAAAUAAGACAGAUCUCCUCAUCGAUGUGUAAUAAAGUUAAAGGACAUUGUUUUGUCAGACAAGCGCUAAGUAGAAAAUAAAUCUUUGGGUCUGGGGAAACAAAACGCAGUGCUGUUGGCAUGUGUGUAAAUUUACUUUUAAGAGCAAUAAAUCAAUGUUAAAUUAAACAGCUGGGUUCCUAUCUCGGAGAAUGGUCCGCGGUGAAGGAAACCUCGGCGGAGCCCGCUCCCUGUCCCCGCCACAUCCCCGCGGGCCGGGGGGCACCCGGUGGGGACACCCAGACACGGGGCACCCAUCUGGGGGGGCACCUGACCGGGAGGCUCUCAGCCGGGGCGGGACCUGCCCCAAUCCUUGGGGCCCCACCGAGCCGCCCCCGCUGCCUUGCGCCGGGGUUAAGCAGAGUAACCCGCCGAAACUGCUCAAUGCUGGCAUUAUCCGAGCACUAAUUUCAUCAUUUCUGCAUCAGGAGGCAGAGGCACGGCACGCAGCGCGCUGCCCUGCCUGUCGCUGGGAUCUAAUGUGGAGUGCCCGUCUACGGGGCGGCCGCGAAGGGUGCGAGGAAACGGGGUGCCCCCGGCACGCUGUGUGGGGUGAGAUCCUUCAGAUGCUGAGAGAAGGAGAGAAAGGAGGGAAAGGAGAGGGGAGAAAACGGGGAGAGUAGAAAGAAGGGGAAAAAAGAAAGGGAGGAAGGAGGAGAGAAAAAGAACGUGAAGAGAGAGAAAAUAAAUAUGAAGACAGGAAAGGAAGAAAGGAAAAUGGAAAGGGAGAAAAGGGGAGAAAGGAAGAAAAGAAGAAAAAUAGGAAAGAGGGAAGGAAAGAGAAAGAAGAAAGAAGGAAGGAGAACUGAGCUGAGGAGACGCGCAGUAAAGAUGAAGCACUCCGGUGUAGACACAACGCGAAUCAAUAAGUUAUUAAAAGCCCCGAACAACAAAAGCAAUAUUGCUAAGCAGAAAACAGCUUGGUUUUCUGUUAGAGAAUGUCUGUGUCUGACUGAGAAAUUUGAAGUUAUCAAGUAAAAUUUUAGAAGGACUGAGAAUAAAGGUAUUUGAGUGCAUUGGCUCUCACUAGUGUUACUCAUUCUCUCCCGAGCACGGGGACGAAGGCUCGGACGGAGGAUUCACGGUGACCGCAGCAGUGCGCUGCCCCCCGUCCCCCUUCCCGCUGUGUGCACACUGUUUGCUUUAUUUCCACAGAAAUGAUGCAAACGAGGAGCAGAAGCUUUUUAAAAAUUAUUUUUUAAAUUAUUUUUAUUUUUUUCCCCACGGGAUCCCUGCAAGUUUCAAAAACAUAAAAGGUGACCCUUGGCGGGACGGGCACCGCAGCGGACAUCUUGCCCGCUCUGCCUUUGUUUUGCUCUCUUAGAAAGGAGGAUCCCAACACACGGCAAAGUUGGACGCCGUGUUAGUUUGUUUGCAGAUAAGGGCAUUUUGGUCUCCAAGUUCCACCCCGGGAACUGCGAUCAGGUAACAGUCACAGCAGUGCGUUCUGCUCAUCACAAACCGCUUUCUGCCGCACUCUGAAUGCUUCACGCAUCGCCAGGACAGAGCCCCGCUUGCAUUUUGCCGCAUUUAUUUCUAUUAUUUCCCAUCACAACAGAGUCCCGAAGGUCGGUCAACACCGUUCAGGUGCACUCUGCGCACCUCCUCCGCGCUGAAACGCGCUCGGAGCAGAGCGUGCGAUCGGGGAGUUUAAUUAGGAAAGAUGGAGAAAUAGAUUAUCCUAAUAACCAGGCGAACAAAUGAAGGACAAAGAACCGAGUGGUCCCCUCGGAUGAUAAACGGAGCUGCCCCCGCGCCUCCCCCGACGUCUGCGGCGUCCGGGUGGCGGAGGAGAUGCGGGGGCCUCUGCGUUUUCUCCGCGCUUUGCUCUGCGCUCAGCUCCGCGCUCGGCUCCGCACCCGCUCCGCGCCGCCG
ensembl:lncRNA